AUUGAACGCUGGCGGUAGGCCUAACACAUGCAAGUCGAACGUGAAAGUCCUUCGGGAUGAGUAGAGUGGCGGACGGGUGAGUAACGCGUAGGAAUCUAUCCUGUAGUGGGGGAUAACGUUUCGAAAGGAACGCUAAUACCGCAUACGCCCCACGGGGGAAAGCGGGGGAUCUUCGGACCUCGUGCUAUAGGAGGAGCCUGCGUCGGAUUAGCUAGUUGGUGAGGUAAAGGCUCACCAAGGCGACGAUCCGUAGCUGGUCUGAGAGGAUGAUCAGCCACACCGGAACUGAGACACGGUCCGGACUCCUACGGGGGGCAGCAGUGGGGAAUAUUGCGCAAUGGGCGAAAGCCUGACGCAGCCAUACCGCGUGUGUGAAGAAGGCCUUCGGGUUGUAAAGCACUUUCAGUGGGGAGGAAGAGCUGGUGGCUAAUAUCCAUCGGCCGUGACGCUACCCACAGAAGAAGCACCGGCUAAUUCCGUGCCAGCAGCCGCCGUAACAC
rnacentral:rRNA from 1 species